UACGGGGGGGGCAAGCGUUGUUCGGAAUUACUGGGCGUAAAGGGCUCGUAGGCGGCCAACUAAGUCCGACGUGAAAUCCCCAGGCUUAACCUGGGAACUGCGUCGGAUACUGGAUGGCUUGAAUUCGGGAGAGGGAUGCAGAAUUCCAGGUGUAGCGGUGAAAUGCGUAGAUAUCUGGAGGAACACCGGUGGCGAAGGCGGCAUCCUGGACCGAAAUUGACGCUGAGACGCGAAAGCCAGGGGAGCAAACGGG
rnacentral:rRNA from 1 species